rnacentral:rRNA from 1 species
GUGGGGAAUAUUCCGCAAUGGACGAAAGUCUGACGGAGCAACGCCGCGUGAGUGAUGAAGGUUUUCGGACUGUAAAGCUCUGUUGUUUAGGACGAAAGUGCCUGUUGCAAAUAGUUACAGGUAUUGACGGUACUGAACGAGGAAGCCACGGCUAACUACGUGCCAGCAGCCGCGGUAAUACGUAGGUGGCAAGCGUUGUCCGGCAUUAUUGGGCGUAAAGAGCAUGUAGGCGGGAAUCUAAGUCUGUUGUGAAAAUGCGGGGCUCGACCCCGUAUUGCGAUGGAAACUGGGUUUCUUGAGUGCAGGAGAGGAAAGGGGAAUUCCCAGUGUAGCGGUGAAAUGCGUAGAUAUUGGGAGGAACACCAGUGGCGAAGGCGGCUUUCUGGACUGUAACUGACACUGAGGCUCGAAAGCCAGGGGAGCGAACGGGAUUAGAAACCCGGGUAGUCC